rnacentral:rRNA from 1 species
UACAGAGGGUGCGAGCGUUAAUCGGAAUUACUGGGCGUAAAGCGUGCGUAGACGGCUAUCUAAGUCGGGUGUGAAAGCCCCGGGCUCAACCUGGGAAUGGCGAUGGAUACUGGCGGGCUAGAGUGCGGUAGAGGAGAGUGGAAUUCCCGGUGUAGCAGUGAAAUGCGUAGAGAUCGGGAGGAACAUCAGUUGCGAAGGCGGCUCUCUGGACCAGCACUGACACUGAGGCACGAAAGCGUGGGGAGCAAACAGG